GAUGAACGCUAGCGAUAGGCUUAACACAUGCAAGUCGAGGGGCAGCACGGGAUUAGCUUGCUAAUCUUGGUGGCGACCGGCGUAAGGGUGCGUAACGCGUAUGCAACUUGCCUGUCAGUGGGGGAUAACCCGGAGAAAUCCGGACUAAUACCGCAUACACUUUGGUUUCCGCAUGGGGACUUUAGGAAAGAUUUAUUGCUGACAGAUAGGCAUGCGUUCCAUUAGAUAGUUGGUGAGGUAACGGCUCACCAAGUCGACGAUGGAUAGGGGAGCUGAGAGGCUUAUCCCCCCAACUGGACCUGGGACACGGCCAGGACUCCUCCGGGAGGCGGCAGUGAGGAUAAUGGGUCAAUGGGCGAGAGCCUGACCAGCCAAGUCGCGUGAAGGAAGACGGUCCUAUGGAUUGUAAACUUCUUUAGUAGGUGAGUACAAGCAGUUACGUGUAGCUGUAAGCAAGUAACCUAAGAAUAAGUAUCGGCUAACUCCGUG
rnacentral:rRNA from 1 species